AACCCCGUUACCCCCCAGCCCACACACCCCACCGCAGUUUUGGGUGGGGAGAAGGCAAAGGGAGAGAUCAUCUCUCGAAAACCUCCCAUCAGAGCAACGAUUUUGGGAGUUUGAGCAGAAUGCUUAAGGCAGUGGUUCUAAAAUUCCACACCACCUGUUCUUCCAGUUGUGUCCUCUCUGAGCUGCCUCUGACGGUCACAUUCCAUGGCCAUGUGCCACAGCAGACUUGUGAUACUGAUUUUAGUGUUGUCCUUGGCCAUUGCGGGCAGGGAGGAAGCAGAGAGAAGAGAAGGGGAGAGAAGAAGAGAAAUGGGAGUGGGGUCCAUUUAUCCAUCUCUCUGUCAUUAGGGGCCCAGCAGUUCCCACUAUGGUACCUAGGAAACUAGCUUGGACCUGGAGGCCAUCCAGUGACCUAAUCUGGACCAAUAAAGCCACCAGGCCAUUUUCCUGCGUCGGACAUGCUUUCUCAGCUGCCCUUCCCCUUAGCUAGGGCUGAAAUGACUCGUCUUCCCAUGCCCUAGUUCCAUGGGGUUUCCUCUCUGUGACUUAGGACAGAGGGCUUGGUUGCCACCAAAGGCAGCUUAUGGUGUAGCUUCAGGUCUAGCCUGACUCAGUGGCCUUCCCUCAGCUAUUCACUACGGAGGCACUUAAUGAAGAAGACACAAGGGUAGCAGGCCUGAGGGAUAACUUCAAGGCUAACGUGUCUUUUUUCCAGUACUUACUCUUCUUUUGAAUUUUAAGAAUUCCAGAUUUUAUUCUAAGUCAGAGAAUACUGCGAGAAAGGAUUUUAUUGUAUCCACUCCCUCCAAAUGGCAUGAACAUCUGGAUUUGCAUCCUUCCCAUGACAGAUAUCACAAAUUGGGUUGGGUUUUGCACGCUCAGGAUGAUUUUUGGUAUUCAGCUAACACCCUUCCUUUAAGGAAGUUAGAACACUUGAUAAAUUUUAAGCUUUUGAUCCUCAGUAGUACCCCUGGAAAACUGAGGUCCAGUGAGAUAAAUUGUCUUGAUUAAUUAUAUGACAUGCACUGCUUUUUGGUGGCUCUUUUGUUGUGUUUUGUUUUUUCUUUCUCCUUCAUUUUGUUAAAAUGAAUUAUGUGAAUGUCCAGGUCAGCAGUGUUCUAUUUUCGUAGGGUAAGCCCCAUCUCUAGUACUGUUUAUUUCCACUGUGCCUAUUUUUCAGGGAACUCUGUGCAUUUCCACAUUUCCAUCGCCAGCUCUAAGAAGAAAAUAGAAAAUGAGAUAUUAGAAGGAAAUAGAACAAAAACUAUCUGCCUUCAAGGAGCUCACAGUCUAGUUCUGGAGACUGGACAUACGCAGUCUCUGCUGUCUGCUUGGACUGGUGUCACUGUGAUCAUUCUCAGUUACAGAGACAGUUGACGGCUUUGGAGUGAAAGCUGGGAGCCAAGGAGUCCUGAGAAAACUAUAAAUGGGCAUGGAAUGUCCUGGAUAAUUCUGUGGUGGGGAAAUUAAUUCUGAACCACUAAGUACUGUUAAGAAGCUGAUGCCAACUAAAUAGGCAGAAAUUUUUACAAAAGCUGCCAGAGUUUAGAAACCACCCAGUGUGCCAUAGCUUCAGGGGAGCAAAACUACCCACUCUACCAAGUUGGAAAAAAUGAAGAACACUUCAAACUGAAUCCAGCUGAUCCUGGAGGCCACUGAUCCUGUCCUAAUGGAGACAAAAAGUGACAGUAUUUCGAAAAAAGCCUGGUUUUGGUACAGCUCUUCCAGAACCCACGGGAAGAACCUGUUCAUCAGCUCAUCCAUCCAUCUGCUGAGUAAAUGCUUAUUGAGCAUCUACUGAAUGCCAGCACUGUUCUUUGUUCUUGGAAUACAUCAGUAAACAAAAUAGGAAAAACAAAACC
rnacentral:sRNA from 1 species